CUUUUCUUUGUAUAUCUGGUACAAUUCAGCUGUGAAUCCAUCCGGUCCUGGACUUUUAUUUGUUGAUGGUUCCAGCUUCCUACCCUUCCAGUUAAAAUAAACAAAAACGAGGGUCUUGAGUGUCUAUGAUUUUCAUAAGAUCUAUGGCGUUUCUUCUGCAGAUGAUCAACAGUUGCCUGCCUUGGACUUUGGAGUUCCCAAGAACUAGGUAGGUAAUGGAAUUAGGUCACACUGACAUCCAGUGAUGGAAUUUGCCCAGUGACAUUAAUGCAUCGAUUGCUUCCUAUAUAUUUCAGUGUCAUAAACAAAGUUUCUCUUUCCUUUUCAAGAAGAAAAGAGCAUGGUGGAAACAGAGAAGUGUGUCUUUUGUUUGGUCAGCAAGGCAGGAAAGGCCUUGUGUGCUCUGUCCGUCAACACUGAUAAGCUGUGACAUCGGGAGGCUGGGAGGAUCCCCAGCUGUUCCACCUACACUGGGUCCCAGGGCGCGUGAUCCUGCUCAGGAAGCAAGGGGAGCUCAAACAGGGAAAGAUGAGCACCAUGAACACAAAUAGUCUACUCGGAGUUUCUUAAAUUAUUUGAGUAUCCAUAUAUUUGACUUCAAG
rnacentral:lncRNA from 10 species